rnacentral:tRNA from 1 species
AGAUAAGUGGCUGAGUGGUUAAAAGCGCUAGUCUUGAAAAUUAGUAUAUAUAAAUUAUAUCGUAGGUUCGAAUCCUAUCUUAUCUA